rnacentral:rRNA from 1 species
UAGGGAAUAUUGGACAAUGGGCGAAAGCCUAAUCCAGCAAUACCGCGUGAAUGAUGAAGGUCUUAGGAUUGCAAAGUUCUUUCGGUGGGGAAGAUAAUGACGGUACCCACAGAAGAAGCACCGGCUAACUUCGUGCCAGCAGCCGCGGUAAUACGAAGGGUGCUAGCGUUAUUCGGAAUCACUGGGCGUAAAGAGUGUAAAGGCUGUUAGAUAAGUUAGUUAUGAAAUCCCUGAGCUCAACUCAGGAACUAUGAUUAAAACUAUCUGGCUAGAGUAUAGUAGGCGAUGGCGGAAUUCUUAGUGUAGGGGUGAAAUCCGUAGAUAUUAAGAGGAACACCGGUGGUGAAGACGGCUAUCUUGACUAUAACUGACGCUACAACACGAAGGCAUGGGUAGCAAACAGG